UGGAAUGAUAGGUUCUUCAUCACUAAUACAGAAUCAUUUGUUGGGUGCGUGUAUUUCACUAAUGUAAAUGUUAGAUUUUUUUGUUGCAUAUCCCAGCAGAAAGUGGGGUCACAGCCCGGGUGAGAGAGAGACCCUCUAUGUAACCCCCCCCCCCUGUGUUCAUCACCACUACAGGUGUAUCUGUCAUGUUGUUUUGUCUGUCCUCUUUCUCCUGAUUUCACUCGUUCCCUCCGUUCCCCUCCUCUCUCUGCAGUCUCGGGUUCCCCUCCUCCGUCAGAUGGCGUUCUGCCUGGCCGAGCUUCACUGUUGGUCCUCCAGCAGCUCACUACAAGUCAGAGAUACAGAUAUUGGCACCCAUCAGUACUAUGACAAAGGAGAGCCAGCCGUCCCAUCAGAGCACCACUACUACACUGACAAACAGGAUUUCUCUGAAUGUAAGUCCUUUCAAAUCACUGCCCUCACAACACAAACCUUAUGCAGAAACGACUAACAUUAUAACAAGCCGUAGGUGAUAGUAUUUUGGUGGGUUAUAUUGUACUACGUUGAGGCAGAAGGGAGUUCAGGAGAAGUGAGAUCAUUUUGGGUGGGUGAUGUUGUAGUGGGGUUGUGUUGGAAUAGAUUGAAGAACAGGUCAAGUGUGGUAUUUAGGGGGUUGGGAGGAAGUGAGGACUGGUUGAGUGGGUACGUGUGUGUGUGUGCGUGUCAGUGUGUGUGGGUGUGUGUGUGUGUUCUCCCCAGUCCAAACGUCCACCCCAGAGUGGCACCAUUAGGAACCUAAUCACCAUCAUACCAGGAUGACCAGUUUCCAUGUAAUAAUUCUUAGCUAGUCAGUCUGUCAGUCAACCUGACUCUCUCUCUCUCUCUCUACUCCUUCAUCUUUCUCUCUUCUCAUC